AUGACAAGAAGAUAUUGGAACAUUAAUUUGAAAGAGAUGAUCGAAGCAGGAGUUCAUUUUGGUCAUGGUAUUAAGAAAUGGAUUCCUAAAGUUGCCCCUUACAUUUCGGCAAAGCGUAAAGGUACUCAUAUUAUAAAUCUCGCAAGUCAGGGAAAAAGUUUCUUAAUUGUUGGUACCAAAAAAAGAGCAACAGAUUUAGUAGCAUCAACUGCAAUAAGGGCUCGUUGUGAUUAUGUUAAUAAAAAGUGGUUCAGUGAUGUGGCAAUCUUGAAGAGAAAAUUAUCUACCUUGCAAAGGUAUCUCGGCGGGAUCAAAUAUAUGACGAGAUUGCCAGACAUUCUGAUCAUCCUUGAUCAGCAAAAAGAGUAUAUAGCUCUUCGGGAAUGUGCCAUUUUCGGGAUUCCUACUAUUUCUUUAGUCGAUACAAAUUGUGACCCGGAUCUCGCGAAUAUAUCGAUUCCAGCCAACGAUGACACUAUGACUUCAAUUCGAUUGAUUCUUAAAAAAUUAGUAUUUUCAAUUUGUGAGGGCCGUUCUCUCUAUCUAAGAAAUCAUUGA
rnacentral:rRNA from 1 species